GAUGAACGCUAGCGACAGGCUUAACACAUGCAAGUCGAGGGGCAGCACAGGUAGCAAUACCGGGUGGCGACCGGCGCACGGGUGAGUAACGUGUAUGCAACUUGCCUAUCAGAGGGGGAUAACCCGGCGAAAGUCGGACUAAUACCGCAUGAAGCAGGGGCCCCGCAUGGGGAUAUUUGCUAAAGAUUCAUCGCUGAUAGAUAGGCAUGCGUUCCAUUAGGCAGUUGGCGGGGUAACGGCCCACCAAACCGACGAUGGAUAGGGGUUCUGAGAGGAAGGUCCCCCACAUUGGUACUGAGACACGGACCAAACUCCUACGGGAGGCAGCAGUGAGGAAUAUUGGUCAAUGGGCGUAAGCCUGAACCAGCCAAGUCGCGUGAGGGAUGAAGGUUCUAUGGAUCGUAAACCUCUUUUAUAAGGGAAUAAAGUGCGGGACGUGUCCCGUUUUGUAUGUACCUUAGAAUAAGGAUCGGCUAACUCCGUGCCAGCAGCCGCGGUAAUACGGAGGAUCCGAGCGUUAUCCGGAUUUAUUGGGUUUAAAGGGUGCGUAGGCGGCCUUUUAAGUCAGCGGUGAAAGUCUGUGGCUCAACCAUGGAAUUGCCGUUGAAACUGGGAGGCUUGAGUAUGUUUGAGGCAGGCGGAAUGCGUGGUGUAGCGGUGAAAUGCUUAGAUAUCACGCAGAACCCCGAUUGCGAAGGCAGCCUGCCAAGCCAUGACUGACGCUGAUGCACGAAAGCGUGGGGAUCAAACAGGAUUAGAUACCCUGGUAGUCCACGCAGUAAACGAUGAUCACUAGCUGUUUGCGAUACACAGUAAGCGGCACAGCGAAAGCGUUAAGUGAUCCACCUGGGGAGUACGCCGGCAACGGUGAAACUCAAAGGAAUUGACGGGGGCCCGCACAAGCGGAGGAACAUGUGGUUUAAUUCCAUGAUACGCGAGGAACCUUACCCGGGUUUGAACGCAUUCGGACCGAGGUGGAAACACCUUUUCUAGCAAUAGCCGUUUGCGAGGUGCUGCAUGGUUGUCGUCAGCUCGUGCCGUGAGGUGUCGGCUUAAGUGCCAUAACGAGCGCAACCCUUGCCACUAGUUACUAACAGGUGAUGCUGAGGACUCUGGUGGGACUGCCAGCGUAAGCUGCGAGGAAGGCGGGGAUGACGUCAAAUCAGCACGGCCCUUACAUCCGGGGCGACACACGUGUUACAAUGGCGUGGACAAAGGGAAGCCACCUGGCGACAGGGAGCGAAUCCCCAAACCACGUCUCAGUUCGGAUCGGAGUCUGCAACCCGACUCCGUGAAGCUGGAUUCGCUAGUAAUCGCGCAUCAGCCAUGGCGCGGUGAAUACGUUCCCGGGCCUUGUACACACCGCCCGUCAAGCCAUGGGAGCCGGGGGUACCUGAAGUCCGUAACCGCGAGGAUCGGCCUAGGGUAAAACUGGUGACUGGGGCUAAGUCGUAACAAGGUAGCCGUACCGGAAGG
rnacentral:rRNA from 1 species